UGUUUGCUGUUUGGUAACUACAUUCGUAAAGUGCUGUGGUACUUUAUUUUGUGUUUGGUAAACAAACUGAGAAAGUACUUUUGUAUGACAAAAUUACCAUAAAGGACAUUACAUAGUAUUAUACAAUAGAACAUAAUAAAAUAUAACAUAAAUUAAUACAUAAAUAUACGAUAUAUUAUAAUAUUAUUGUAAUAUAAAAUAAUAUUAUGCUAAUAUAGCAUAGUAGUAAUAUAAUUAUUAGAGUAAAUUAAUAUUUGGAAAUAUAACAUAAUAUUAAAUUAUUUAACAUAACAUAUUAAUGUAUUAUGAUAUAAUGUAAUAUAUAUUAUAUUUAUAGUAUAAUACAAUAAUAAAAGUAUAAAAUAUUAUAAUUAUUAGUAUAAAUUAAUUUCUCAUAAUAUAACAUAAUAUUAAAUUAUUUAAAAUAACAUAUUAAUGUAUUAUAAUGUAAUGUAAUAUAAUAUAAUAUUUAUAGUAUAAUAUAAUAAUAAAGGUAUAAAAUAUUAUAAUUAUUAUUAUAAAUUAAUUUUCCAUAAUAUAACAUAAUAUUAAAUUAUUUCAAAUAACAUAUUAAUGUAUUAUAAUGUAAUGUAAUAUAAUAUAAUUUUUAUAGUAUAAUACAAUAANNNNNNNNNNNNNNNNNNNNCUUCUGAACUUAUCACUAGAAAUCUAUUGGCAUUACUAUUGGCUGCAUAACCUAUGAAUAUGGCAUCCACUGUUUUAGGGCCUAUUUUCUUUCUCUUAAAAUCAGGUAUUUUUACUUUUGCCAAGCACCCCCACACUUUUAAAUAGCUAAGAUUAGGUUUUCUAUAUUUCCAAACUUCAUAUGGGGUUAGAUCAUUAUUUUUAGAGGGAAUCCUAUUAAGGAUAUAACAGGCUGAAACAAGAGCUUCCCCCCACAAAUUUUCUGGCACUCCUGAGCUUAUAAGCAUGGAGUUCACCAUAUCCAUUAAAGUCCUAUUCUUCCUUUCUGCUACUCCAUUUGACUGGGGAGAACAUGAAUGAUUCCAUGAUCUUCACAAAAUUGAGUUAUAUCAUUGGAUGUAUAUUCACCUCCUCGAUCUGAUCUAAGAAUUUUAAUUUUCUUUUUUUGUUGGUUCUCAGCUUCGAUCUUAAAUAUUUUAAAUUUGCUGAGCACCUCAUCCUUGAUUUUAAUUAGAUAGAUAUAACAGAAUUUGGAUAGAUCAUCUAUGAAGGUCACAAAAUAUUUGUUACCUCCUCUAGAAGUUCUACCAGAGUCACAAACAUCACCAUGGAUCAACUCUAAUAGAUCUAAAUCCCUAUUAACGGAUUUAAAAGGCUUUNNNNNNNNNNNNNNNNNNNNACGGUCCAGGGGCUCUUCUUCGUGGUCCACGCUCGAGGAGGACCUCAGCGUGGGCCGCGAGGUUGAUGAUAAAAAAAAACAAUAGAUUGAUUUUGGAAGGUAUGGAAAAGGAUUAAAAUUUUUUUCUUCUAAAAUGUGGUUCAAGAAAUGCAUACAAAAAUUGAAAAGAAAAAUACAUUUUCUUACGGAAGGGAGUCUGACGGCUAGGAUUCUUGGCUCCAGCAGAUUUUUAGGUUUAUAAAGGGACAAACUAUAAAAUUAUGUUAUUUUAAUAUGGACAUUUUUGUCAAAAAUACAGCUUUCCGAAAAAGCUGAAACAGCUUCCUCCCAAAAGCUUCAAAUUGGAGCUUUCUUCCAAAAGCUAUUUUCAGCUUCCCGCAAAAGCUGAAACAGCUUUUUGAAAAAUUUACCAAACACAGUUUUUCAUCUAAAAGUACUUUUGGAGGGCCAGAAAGUGCUUUCUGGCCCUCCAAAAGCUCCCCAAACAGGGCCUAAAUAGAUGGUUGGUAGCAAUGGUCACGGAGCUACGGAAUCUUAAUGGGCAGAGUUGUAACUUUCAACAGGAAGGAGGAUUUACCUUUUUUUUUUUUUUUGCACAAAUCUACUAUUAGGUCGGUUGUACAAGGAUCGCUUCAAAAUCUAUUCAGUGACUGAAUAAAUUCAAUGUGAUCUAUGAAAAAUAUGUUCCAACAGCUGAUAUCGAAAAAAAAAUCAAUCAUUAUUUCAUGCAAAACGUACAAUCUGAACCCCACCAACCGUAUGGACCAAUUGCAUUCUAGAAAUUUUUCAAUUUUUAUUGACGUUGAAAAAUAUAUUUUCCAACAAUUUUCUCGUGGAAACAAAAAAUAAUAAUAAAAAAAGGAGUUGUGGAUAAGGCUCCUUGUGGUGGGAUACGGUCCACUGGAUGAGAGAGAUAAUAAUCCUAUAAUAUACCGGAUCUGCGUGCAUAGAAUUAUUUGGUAAGAGAGUCUGAAUGCGACCAAAGUAACCGGCCUUUACAGUAAAUUGCAUUCUUGAGAAACACACCUAUCCUUUAUAGAUGGUUGGUUGCUAUGGUCACGAAGCUUCGGAAUCUCACGGUCAUGGACAGGGCUAUAAGGAGAGUCUAUCUUACUUUGCACGAAUCUAUUAUUAGAUCGCACAAAAAUCACUUUAAAAUUUAUAUAGAUAGAUGAAUGAAUAAAUAUAAAGCACUUUGAGAUCUACAAAAAUUGCGAUCCAACUAUUAAUGCUGUGAAAAAAAAUCAACCCUACUUUCAUGCAAAACAUGCAACCCGAACCCCACCAACCAUAUGGAGCAAUUUCGUUUUCUAUAAAUCUUCCUAUUUUUAUUGGUGUUGAAAAUAUAUGUUUCAACAAUUUUCUCGUGGAAACCAAAAAAGAAGAAAAAAAAAAGGGAAGGGCAGAGAGCCGUCGGAGUCUUAAUUUGUCUUUAUAUUACUGACAUCCAAUGGAAAGCUCCCAGAGAUAUUGUUGGUCUACCUCUUAGUCAAAUGACUCUUUGAAUUAUUGUGCACAAUUAAACCAAUGCAGAAUUAUUGAUUAUUCAAACAUUAUAGAAGGAAUUUAUGAUUUGUUCAUUGGUUAUUUGUGCUAAUUUAAGAAAUUUUUAUACUAGAUUUGUUGUUUGUACUACUGUUUUUGCUAUCGGCUAAGUGGCUUUCCCAUAUUUAUAUUAUGCAAGUAAAUAUAAUGAUAGCUCAGAAAGCGCUUUUAAUAAGUUUUGAUUGGUUGUAGGUAUAACAACUCCAUAAAACAUUAAUCGGGAUUCUCUGUUGUACGGCUUGUGCACCGCAGAGUGUUGUAUAUCCCUAAAUGACGACCAUCAGGAGACAAAUGGCUACUAAAUAAUAUGUACCGUGUAUGACAUGAUACGCACUCAUGGACUGCCUUGUUUAAUAGCCGCCGAUCUCUUGAUGGUAGCCAACUACGGCCUACAGUUCUCUGAGGUGCUACGUGUGUACUGCAGAGGACCUGUGUCCAUAAAACAUACUUAUUUCUAUCUUAUGACCUACAAAAUAGCAUGGCCAACUCUGCUUCCAUAUAAUCAAGACAUCUCUAGGCUCCUACAUGUAGCAGAACAAGCUUAUAGGCAAUCUACAGCUCAUAAAGUGCCUACUUCACUCAUUUUCAUUGGACAAUACCUAACCUGCAGUAAUAUGGUGCAAGUUGAGCUAGUUUAGCAAAACCUGACUUGACUUGAUUGGGUUGGGCCAAUAUAAACCUAACUGUUGGGUUUUGCUAGGGUUCGAAAUUGUCGUCACAACUUCAAGGUAGGUGAAGGUUGGGUUGAAAGUUUGGCAGCCAGGAUCCAAACCAAAUUUCUACAUUUUAGUAUUUAAACCAACCCAAUUCAAGCUUCUUGUUGUCUUAUUCUAAACAAACCUAAGUUUACUGAUACUUGUGGUAUAGAUUUCUGGAUCGAAUAUUGUUUGUAUUGACUUGAUCUAACUUGACCUAGACAUAUCCAGUCUAAAUUGUGUUUGGGUUGAAAAUUUAAAGUUGGAUCACGUUUGGGCAUUAUUAUUCGGUUGGGUUUGGAUUGGAUAUUUCUCUUAACCAAGUUUGGAUUAGGUCGGUACAUGUUUCAAGUGACCAACAAACUCAAGAACACCAAGGUAGCUCUGCGGAGAUGGAACAAAAGAUCGGUUGGAAAUAUUCAUGUGAGAUUGUAGAAUUUGGAGGCAGAGCUGGUUAAGCUUUAAUCAAAGGAAGCAAAUUCUGGAGGUUUACAUCAUAGCGCUCUACUGCUUCUUACUAAAUUGGCUGAGUAUAAUAGGUUCCUGAGAUAGCAAGAGACAUUUUGUGUCACACCCCCAACCCAAAAUCGUGAGUCAGAGAUCACGGCAAUCGCCGCAUACUCAUAAAAAACUCUUCCCACAAGCAAUAAAGGCAUCUCAUUCUGAUAUCAUAAACAAGCAGUGGAAUAAAUUUAAAUAAUCAAUAUUAAAACUUUAAUUUAAAUAAUUAGAAUCAUAUUUCAAUGUCACCAACAAUGUUUUAAAAAAAAUUACAUCAAACUCUAGUCAAACUCUGAUCUAAAUUAAAAAUAUUAAAUUCAGCCUCUAGUCACUUCUCGAUCAUAAUCUCAUGCCAUUUAGUUCUCAGAUCUAUAAAAACAGUAAGAUAUAAAGUAAUGAGCUAGAUAGCCCAAUAAGUAAUGAACACUUUAACCAAAAUAAUGAGGCAAUAAAUUAAAUAAUUAUUUACAAAAAAUAAGCAAAUGUAAAGUAUGCAGAUUUAUCAAAACAUUAUGCAUCCCAAAUUGAAUCUUUCCUAAAAUCAAAUUUUAUUUAUAAAUCCAAAUUCUUUCAAAUCAUUAAGUUUAUCUCGUCAACCAUGAACUAUGAUCACAUUUUUUCUAUGGCAGAAUCAUGAUAUUUUAUGUCUUCUUGCAGUGUCUGCACAUCAUCUUGUGGCAAAGUUCUUCAGGACUACGUAUCUGCUUGUGGUAUAUCGCACAUCUUCUUGUGACAUAAAUCUUUUAGGACAAAUCAAGUGCCAACAUAUUAGCCCCCAUUGGUGGGGUCCUUAAUAUAUCAGGCUAAGAGUUCAAAAUAAUCAUGCAGUUUAUAUCUCACUUCAACAAAAAUAUAAAAAAUCAUACGAUAUCGAAAUCAAUUGAACGAGUUCAAUAUUUCCAAGCAUGCAUCAUCAUAAUAUUCCAAAAUAAAGCAUAUUUAGUAAUAAAAUAUCGUUCAUCAAAUUCAUACGUCAUGAAUAGUAUGAUUCAAAUUUAUUAAUAUAAUAAUCUUAUAAUUUUUUGAUAAAUCUAGAAAAAGGAUCAUAUUACUUAUUGUGUGAGUGAAAUCAAGCGACAUAUUCAAUUAAUUUCUAAAAUUUCUCUCAGAAACUAAAACUCUAGCCAGGGGCAGCCCAAUGCAUUUGGGGGCCUAAGACGAACUUACUAAAAGAGGCCUUUUUUAAAUAAUAAUAAUAAUAAUAAUAAAUUUUUAAUAAGUGCAAAAUACUUUAAAAAUUUAUUUAAAAAUAAUCCGUCUAGCUUUUUGAGAUGCAAAAUUGCUAAUCAAACUUUUGUACUCAAGAUUCAUUAAAAUACUAUUUUUAAUCGAUAAUAUAGCUAAUCCAUUUAAUCUUUCUUGAGACAUAGUUGACCGCAAAUAAGAUUUUAUCAACUUUAAUUUUGAAAAACUUCUUUCUGCAGAAGCAACUGUUACUGGUAUUGUUAACAAUAUCCGGUAAGCAAUGCAUGCAUUUGGAAAAGAAUCUAUUUUUUUAAUAAAACUUAAAGUAUCAAUAGAGGUACUAGUUUCUAUUUGUAAAACUUCUUUUAAAACGUUUAACUCUGAAAACAGAUCAAGACCGUCAAUAUCAGAAUAUUCAUCGUGCUUUAAAAAGUUUUCAAGAUUAAGACAAUACCUUUUCAAAUUCUCUUCAUUCAAAGAUUUUAACUUACUAAAAUUAAACAAAAAACCAAAAAUAUCUUCAUAUAUGGUGAAUUGUUCAAACCUAUUUUGAAUUGAAGAAAUAGCUUGAUCUACUAUAUAUAAAAAGUAAUCAAUUCUAAAAGAUUUCUUCAGCUGAUCUUGUUGUCUCUUCAUCAGUAUUUUCAUCAAAUUAUUUUUUUCUACGGAUCACACGUUUUUCACGAAAUAUAGGUUCUAUUUUCAUUUCAUUUGCAAUUUCUUUAGAUGAAUUCAAAGCAUUCAUAAAUCCAUUUUCUCUAUAACUUUUCAAAUAAGAAAAAAGACCUUUUAAUUGAUCUAUAGCAACAUCAAUAUGCAUGUCUUCAGAUUGUAAGUUCUUACUAACUGAGUUAACAGCAAACAAUAUAUCGUACCAAAUAUUCAUGCCUAAUAAGAAUUCAAAAUUUUCAAUUUCAUAUGUAGCUAAGCAUAUAGCAUCACUCUUUAUUUUAGGAUCUUCACUAGUUUCUCCUAAUUAAACUAAGGCAUCUCUUAUUUUAGGAGCCUGAUGUUUAAUUGCUUUGAUACUUUCAAUACGACUUUUCCAACGUGUUUGUAACAAAGGUUUAAGAGUUAAUGUAGAUAUGUUAUCUUGUAAAAUUUUUCAUCGUUUUGUAGAAGAAGAAAAUAAGGUAUAAAUUCGUUGUAUCACUCCAAAAAAAGAUAUAGCCUUAAGACACGAGUUAGCAGUAUCACAUAAUACUAAAUUCAAAUUAUGACAUCCACAUGGUGUGUAAAAUGCUCUAGGAUUUAUAUCUAAUAAUCUCUUUUGUACACUUUGAUGUUUUUCUUUCAUAUUAAAUCCGUUGUCAUAUCCUUGUCCUCUUACAUCAUUAACCUCAAGUUUAUGUUUUUCUAUUAUAUUUAUAAGUUCAUUAAAAAGGCCCUUUCCAGAGGUAUCAUCUACUUCUAAAAAUUCUAAAAAAUAUUCUUCUACUUUUACUGAACUUGUUGAAGUAUCUACACAUCUUAAAACUAGGGUCAUUUGUUCCUGAUGGCUUGCAUCAGGAGUGCAAUCAAGUAUUACCGAAAAGUAUUUUGCUUCUUUAAUCUUUUUAAGUAUUAUAGCUUUAAUUUCAGAUGCUAACAUUUGAAUCAAUUCAUUUUGAAUAUUAUGACCUGAAUAAUGAUUGUAAAUUUCACUAUGUUGAUUGCGUCGAACAUGUUCUUGCAUUACUGGAUCAAAUUCUGCAAUCGUUUCAAUAAAACUUAGAAAAUUUUUGUUAUUGCUUUGAUAGAUCUUUUCAUUCUUUUCUCGAAAUGCUAAAUUAUAUUUUGCAAGAUUUUUUAUGACAAUAAUAAUUCUUAUAGAACUUUUUUUCAAUGAUCAUUUUCUUGGUUUAUUUGUUCUUGAAAACUUUUAUCAAUUAUCUUAUUUUUUAGCAAUCUCACUUCUAAAUUAAUCCACCUAUUCAUGCUAAUGAUAUGUUCAUUAGUUGUUUCAUGACUUUUAAGCUUGAUCCUAGAUUUUUCCAAUCUCUACUUUCUUCAUUGACUAAUUGACUCGUGCUAGGCUUUGAAUCAAAUAAUUUACAACAAAAACAAUAUACUCUAUCCAAAUCUUUCGAAUACACUAACCAUUUUCUAUCAUAUUUUUCACCAUUGGUAACUUACGAAUAUAAUAUAUCGUAGAGAAGUGUCUAUUAUUUUCAUCCUUAGAAAAAUGAAAAUCAUAAUUCCUAAUUAGACCUCUUUCCACUAUUAGAUCUCUAAAUUUUGUAUCAAUCAUUUUUCAUUGACCAGGAUCAUAUAAAUUUGUAGGAAUAGGACUAGUUUCACAAUCUUUUUCCUUGUUUAUCCUAUCUCCAUCUGAUUCUUCAUUGUAUUCUUCACUAGAUAUUGUUUCACUAGCAAUCUCAUUUUUUAACUCUAUUUCGGGUGCAUGUUCUGUUGCUAAUUCUUGAGUUGAAUUUGAUGUGAUGUUAUGUUUGUUUGUAACAACAAAUCUAUCUAGAGCUCCUUUUUGAGAUUGAAUGAGUUUAUUGAUUUUUUUUUUGAGUUUUUCAUAUCCACAGUCAUAUUUUCUAUUAGACAUUUUAAUCUAUAAAUAAGAUUAUCAAACUAAGCAAUUAAAGAAACACUACAAACAAAUCAAAAUAUAAAAAAGUUAAAAAUGAUAAAACUUAAUUAAUUGUGUCAAGAAAACAAACUCGGGUCCUGAUAAGUAGUGCUGAACUUAAUUGUGUCGAGAAGAGGCGGAAUUGAGACGAACUCGACGGCGAGAAGAGGCCGAAUAGUGUCGAACUGCUAAAGUCACAACCAAUCUACAAUUAGACCAAAAAAUAACCAAUUCUAGUGUCUCUUACUUGACUAAAUAAAAAUUAAUUGGACCAAAAAUUAAUUAAUAAACUAACUCACCUGCCUCACUGCCUGGGAUCAGUGGGAACUGGGAACUGGGAGUCUAGGAACUUGGGAAGUGGGAUGCUAAUGCCGAACGGAGGAGCUGAGGUCUGAGGAGAGGACGGGAGGCCUCGGUCGCCUAAGGGCUAAGGCUCGAGUCGUGGGCCCGUGGCCGUGGGUGGGGGGCCUCGGUCGGGACUCGGGAGGAGGUCGGAGGAGCCGAGGACGGCGAGGAGAGCUGGAGAGGAUGGGAGGCCUCGGUCGGGACUCGGGAGGCCUUGGUCGGGAUUCGGGAGUCGGGAGGCCUCGGUUGGGACUCGGGAGGCCUCGGAGGAGCCGAAGACGGCGAGGAGAGCUGGAGUCUGGAGAGGACGGGAGGCCGGAGCUGAGGAGGCCGGAGCUCGAAGCCGAGGAGCACGGUGCACCGUGGACUUUAGAGCAGUCCGAGCUUGGAGGCCUCGGUCGCCGCGGAGCCAGGAGGUCGGAGCCUCGGAGGAGCCGAGGACAGUGAGGAAAGCUGGAGAGGACGGGAGGCCGGAGCUGAGGAGGCCAGAGCUCGGAGCCGAGGAGGAGCAUGGUGGACCGUGGACUUCAAAGCGGUCCGAGCUUGGAGACCUUGGAGGACGGGAGGAGCCGAUUGCCGAGGACGGCGACGUCGGUGAGGAGAGCUGGAGAGGACUGAGAGCCAAGCUUAAAACCGAUUCUUUUGCACUCUGCAAGCCAAGCUACCGAGUCUGCCAAGAACUGGAGAAGGUUCAGCAUUAAAAAGAAAGCACCGGCAGGCCGCAGGUGGCAGAGAAGGGGGGAGCCGGGGAGGAAAUGCUCGUUGGCCGUUGCUUGUCGAUGUUGUUGUAGCCGGUAGCCGUUGCCCAGGGCCUACGCCGCUAUGCGCCUAGCCUGUGACCCUGUCUAUCGUCGGGGAGACGCUGAAGGGCCGAAGGGGACUCACUGUAGCGGCGUACGGGUGUAGCCCGGUGGCCGUCGCCCAGUCCCCGUUUGCCAGACGCCAAUGCCCACUGCCCAGCUAUCCUUUCACAUCCGUCGCCAACUCCCGUCUGCCAUUAAUUAAGCAAAAAAAAAAAACGAGCCGUGGGUGGGGGCGGUCGCCUAAGGCUCGAGCCGGCACUGACUCUAGCGAACGCUCAAUUAAAAUUCCAGUGAGUACAGUGAGCCAAUAGUGUUGAAGUCAAGAGGAGAAAAAGGGACCGACGAUGAUCUAGCGAUGAUGAUCUGCAAAACAUGCCAGCGAUGAGGCGAAAGGGGGUGUCGGGGUGUAGCAAUGAUGCUUGGCAAAACUUUGCUAGCAGAUGGAACCAGGACCCACACACAGUACCACCUAGUCUCCCACCUCCGAGAAAUAGAUUGGAUGAAGAAGACGGACGAUGGAUCUUAGCAGAAAUCACUGAAAUAGAAGUUAUGGCAACUCUAAAAUCUAUGGAUUCCAACAGAUCUCAUGGGCCUGACGGUUUCUCACCUAGUUUCUGCAAGGGUUAUUGGAAUAUCAUUGGUAUGGAUAUAUGCAAAGCUAUCAAAGAGUGCUUUAUAAGAAGUCAAAUGCCAGAGGCAUGGAAGAGAACUUUUGUCACGCUAGUUCCAGAGUGCAGUACGCCUACUGUGCGAAAUCAUUAUAGAGGAAUAGGCAGAUUUCAUAAGGGGGCAAAAUAUCUCUGACAAUGUGAUUUUAGCUCAGGAGGUUAUUCACUCAUUGCAUAAAGUUUCGGCUGCAGACUCUUUAAUGAUGAUUAAGUUAUAUAUGUAAAGAGCCUAUGCCAAGGUUGAUUGGAAUUAUUUGCAUGCAGUGUUACGUCAUUUCAAUUUCCAUUAAAAAUUCAUAAAGUGGAUCGAGGCUUGUGUAAAGUUCCCUUUCUUUUCAGUGUUGGUUAACGGUACACCUAGUGAUUUUUUCAAAAGUCCAGUAUAAGGCAGCACCAAGGUUGUCCACUACCACCAUACCUAUUCAUCCAAUGUUCUAAGAUGUUCAGUAGUGCCAUCCUGGUGGAAGCUCAAGCAGGUAAUAUUCAUGGAUAUAGGCAAAUAGAAGAAGUCCGCUAGAGAGUUAUUAUUAUUUGCUGAUGACUUCCUUCUGAUCUCUAAGGCGAGACUAAAAGAUUGUAGAGCCUCUUGCUUCUUACUGUAUGCAGUCUGGGCAGACGGUAAACCGCAAACCUCGACAAAUCUAUGGUUCAAUUCAGUCCAAAAUCCCUGAGGCUUCAUGUUGUUGAAUAUACAAGCUGUUCGCAAGUUCAAAAAGCAGAUGAGCUGAGUCAGUAUCUUGGCAUGCCACUUAAAGGAAGAAGAUUAACAAUGGGAGAAAUGAAGAUAAUGAUGGACAGAAUUAAUGGUCAGCUAGAUUCUUCGAAAUGGAAGUUGUUGUCUUCGGCAGGAGGGCUACUUUAGUGAGGUCAGUUCUAUGCUCUCUGCCCGUUCAUGAUUUCCAAUACAGUAAAAGUUCCAAGAAGUUUGAUAGAUUGGUUUAACAGAACUUUGAGGAACUUUGUGUGGGGGAGUCAUACAUGAUAGCACAAGAAGUCAUAAGGCAAUGGGAGGUUUGGGAAUUCCAAAUACUGAAUAUUGGUGGGAAGGAUUGAUGAGCAAAGUAGCUGGUAAGAUUGCUUAUCUAUAUUCAUAUAUAUCUAUAUAUGUAUGCAUGAAUGCAUGUAGGCAUAUGUGUGUAUUAAACUUGUAGUUUGUAAAUUUAAGAACAAUCAAUUACUUGGAUGAAAUUAAAAUUUUUUGAAUGAUUUAAAUUACUCCUUUUGGUUUUAUUUAAAUUCUAAGUUAUUUUAUAUUUAAUUAUUUAUUGUUAUAUUUUAGCUAUAAAUACAUAACUAGCAUCUUGACACAACCUAAAAAUCUGACUGAACUCAACAUGAAAACAUUUCUCUUACUUGUCCCCGACCCAACCCAAUCAAUUAUUGGUUGGGUACAGUUCCCAACCUAAAUAUUAUAAUAAUAUUAUUAUAUUAUAAUGUUGUAAUAGUAUUUUAGUACAAUAAUAAUAUUUUAAUUACAAGGAUACGGAAAAUGGAAUAGUUGGAGUGUUAAGCGACCCUUUCUAAAGGGUUUUCUGAAUUACAAGAUUCUAUUGGAAUUGUAUUGAAAUUUGGCUGCAAUUCCAAUUAUACGUUUUUGGGGCUUUACAGGCAUCCAUAUAUUUCUUUUAGGCAUCUGUAAUUCUAUUGCAGGCAAUUGCAGCUGCAGCUUGCUAAUUGCAGUCAAUCAAACAUUUACAUCCUUUCCAUUGAUUUUUAUAGUUAGAUUUAUCCCUUUUUUGGCAAGAAAAAUAAUUGCCUUUUAAGGAUUAAAUCUUGAUUCACUUGGUAUGAUUCCUACAGUCAAUUGCAAAUAUCUAAUACCAACUAGUAAAUAUCUAGCUCAUAAAUUGCUGAAAUGUUUUAAUAUGCUACCAUGAGGUUAGCUCAAUUUAUGGCAUUGGAAGGCAGUCCUGUUUUGGUGACAUGUAAUUUUUAUUCAAACCCCCCCAGAAGUGCAUGGUUUGGGUGUUCAUCAAAUGAGACCGUACAUUGAUUCUUUUCAUUUUUCUCAAUUGCCUUGAUUGGUAAUUCAAUGUUAACGUGCCAGCUCAAUGAGGUGCUGGCAUCCAAGACUUUUACGGCAUUGAGUGGAGCUAGUUUAGCACCUAGUUAUUUAUGUGAAGAAGCACUUUCAUGAACUUUAUAAAGCCAUGCCAAUUGCUGAUAGAAAUACAAUCAGCAAUCUAGGAUUGAAAUCGAAUCGGAUACUAGUAUAUCGAUAUCCAUAUUUGUUUUGUUUGAUAAAUAUAGAUAAAAAUAGGAAUGCUAGUCGAAUGCAAAAAUUUAUAUCUAUAUUUGUUUUAAACAGAAACGGAUACAAAUCAAAUAUAAAUAUAAAUUAAAUUAUUAAAUUUUAUAUUCGUAAAACUAAAAAUAUUAUGAAGUGAACGAUAAAUCAAGUUAAUAGCAUAUUAAUAUAGUCGUUUAUUUUUCUUAAAAGUUCAUAAGACUAUAAAAAAUUAGGUAAAGUUAAAAAUGGAAUCGGAUAUUUGAAUACGGAUUGAAUAGUUAUCUAUUCAAACCUAUUUUUUUUUGACAAAUAUGAAUAUAGAUAUCAGUCGGAUGCUCAAAUUUCUAUCCAUAUCUAAUAGAUUCAGAUAUGAAAAUAAAUUUGGACGAAUAUCAUCCGAUCUACUAUCACCUCUAUAGCAAUCUUUAGCAUUUCUGAUGGAAAAUGUGCUUUGCGCAAGCAUACGGCACAAUCUUUUCACUUAAUAAUGCUUUUCGCACUGACAAGCCUGAGUGCCUGCUUGUAGGAGAUAGAAUAACCAUUUCUUGAAGCAAUAUGUGAUAUCUUGUACAUCUUCUUCAGUCAUAAUGGUCCUGAUGAGAAAAAUGAACCGAAUUCCACAUGCCAAACUUUUACAUAUCAUUGAAAGAAUUUAUUUGCGCAACUUCAUCACAUAGGUGUGGUCAUACAAUUACAAGUUCUUGUCUGUUAUAUUUAUCCCCCAAUGAUUUAAUUUUCUCCAUUAGGAAAUUUGUUGUGCUUUGUCUCACAUCGUCUGGUGGUGGCGUGUGUCUGCAACACCUUCAAUCACCUGUCCCUUGUGCUAUAAUCCUAAAGUAAUCUGCACCAAGUAAAUAUUUAUGUGAAUAAACUCAAGGAGUCAGACAUUAUGUUGACAAGCAUAAAUAUAUGUAUUUCAUGGUUCCCAGAAUUUGGACAUAUACAUUGACACCUUUCAGUGUUGACUGACCGUUAAAUAUCAUGCGUGUUACACUUUCACAUCGAAUUGAAAUUGUCUAAAUUAAUUUUAUUUGUGUUAUCCUGCUGCGAUUCAUCCAGUUCAACCAUUGCUUCUGUGCUUGGAAAGAUUAGUUGGAGCUCCAAAUCUCAUAAGUCAUCUUUAGCAUUAUCAACUCUGACUACUCUUGUUAGCUUGGUGAAAUGAAAACAGGUGGUUCAAGAACUGCUCUGGCUCCUCGCCCUCUCUAAUUAUCUAUCAAUCACACAAUAAAACAGCAACAACAAAAUCAGGUUGAAUUACAAAACAAACCAUAACAAAAAGAAGAAAGACGAAGAAGUUAUGUUGAAAACAUAUAUUUGUUUUAAACAAACUACAAAGUAGAGUCAACUGACCAGAUGUUCAUGGCACAGAUAGGUCAUAGGUGAAAAAGAAAAUUACGUAACUUGCUUGGCAACUCAAAAAAAUUUCACCACACUCAACCAGUUCUGGGAAGACCCAUUUACACGUGCUACUAGGAUAGGUGAGCAAAUAACUCCUCCCAGAUCAGCAAAAUACAUUUCUUUGACACUCGUACUUGGCAUUUUAGAAGUCUCAAUGUUGAAGUAAUCGUGUCAUAAGUACAUUAAAACGGCCUUUGCAGGCCAAUAUAUGAUAGCAAUGAAACCGACAAGGAAGAAAUCCUCUGUUCACAUUCGCACAUAAGCCUUAGCAUGCUUCUUUAUCAGUUCUAGAUGGCUGAAUGGCUUAUGAGACAAGAAAACAAUAUUUGCAUAUUAUCUCUUGUCAACCUUGUCAUUUGUUACUGUUAGCUAUAUGUACUAUCUAUACAUGCUGAUAGAUGUAUGGCAGCCACAUUCUACAUGAAAGAGCAUUAACCUAUUCUAGUUGUAAAAUUGAGAACUUGAUUUAUCAUUCUCAUUACUGGUUUCAGGUACAUGAUUGCAAUCCACUUAACCAUGUUCCUGGGCCGUUAUGUUAUAAGAGCCUCAUGAUACUCCUCAAGACUUCUUAGGAUAACUUUGAAAAUCUAUCAUGAGAUAUUGGUUGAUUAUCUCCAAUGUGACCUUUGAGUAUAGGUGUGUGCAUCAAUAUUUUCACUGAAGGAAGUUGUGAAGAUCUUUGGUGACGGAUCCAUAUUUUCAUACAAAGGCAUCCUUUCUCCAGCAUAAUUUAAUGACUGUCAGCAAGCUCAGACUGGCCUACCACCAAACUCAACUUCCCCAACCUUCCUGUGGCAUCUUUGACCCACCUAGUGCCCUGUUAGGAAAAAGUAUUUCAUUACCACUAUAAGACAUGGCCAAGAUGGCCAUGUUAGCAUCUGAAAAACCUAGAUUUCUGGUAUAUUUCCCUCUGAUCUACUUUCUCACUUUUUUAUAUAAAUUUUGCAAUUUCUUUUGGUAUUUUCUUUGGACAUUUUGACGUUCCUUAGCUUGGCGACCAUUUUCCAUAUAUCUUGCCACCAUUUGCCAAAAGUGAAAUGUUUUUGUUUAUAUAUUUUCAAUUUUUAUUUGUUGCAUCUUUUAAUUUAAUUUUUUUUUUACAUACAUCUUGUGAUCUUUAUUAGGCUCGGCAUUAACUGUUUGUUCUCUCCUUGAAAAUAUAUUCCAAAUUAUUUUCUUGUACUUUUGGUUCUUUAACAGUUGGGUUCUUUGGAUUAGCCACACUUGCCAGCUGUCUUCAUGCAUUUAGAUAUCUUACCAUUGCACUUGCAUCUAAUAAAAUCCUCAUGAUGCCCUUCAUGAAUUCUUGCUAGCUAGGGAUGUUCAUGCUAACAUUGAGAGCAAACAGUCGGUAGCUUGUCACUGUCAACAGCCACAUCAUUGGAUAACACAUAUGUAGUCAUCUUAAUUGUUCCAAUCCAGUUCCUCGACUUCAUUUCAGGCCCAAAAUCCUGAAAUUUUAAGUAGAGCUGUCUCAUCAAUGUCUUCAUUAUUAUAACAUCAUUUUCUAAAAGCACAUAUCUGUACUUUAUCUUCUGGCCCUCACAUGGUCCUUCACUUUUCAUCUCUCCAAAGCCUGAUAAAAAGAACCUAAUAGAACUCGCUGGGCAUGCAUGUACCUAGAAAUCAUUUACUGGAGUGGCUACUAAUGCAUCUAUUACUCAGCUUGCCAGCUUGCCAAGCAUAUUUAUACAAUGUUUGAAAAGUUUCUGUGAUGACACAAAUAGUUCCAAUUUUCCAUCAUCAUCAAUGUCUCCUGCUUCAUUGACCUCAUAUGUUCGAUUCUAGACAAGAAAAGAUACAAAACUAGGUUUCUCCAGUCUAACCGCAUGAUCAAUGCCCCUGACCUCCUAGAUCAAUAUCAUAGAUUGGCCCCAUUAAACCAUAUUUCUACUUGAUUCAGAUAUAGUGUAGUGAAACCUACAGACUUGCCAACUCUUCCAAAUGUCCUAUACAUUCCUCGUAUGAACUUUUAUGAGUGAGCCUACUCCAUGUCUCCCUUUUCUUUUACAUGUUUUAUGCAAUGUUUAUCCUCAUAUAGGCCAAAGGACUAGGUCCAACCUAAGAGUGAGGGAGAUUAAUCAGUAAGAUUAUCUCUGUCACAUUCCCAUUCUUUACUUUAAAACCUUCAAUUUUUAGUUCCAGAGCCUAGUCCAUCUGAUUUAGAGCACCUUAUACUAGAUCAUUUAUCGGCUUCUAGUUUUAGUCUCUGUCUUCUUCAAUACUUUUGGUUGACCAGCGUUUGUUAUCAAACAACACUGAUGAAGGGCCCAGGUCCUGAGAAAACUGGUCAAUAGCUGAUGUUAAAUUGACGGGCAGAUUUUCAAAGAAUGUCAAAAACUAUGAUACUUGCAUAUGAUUUAAUCGGUAUGGUUAUGGUCAAAGCACUUGACCAUAUGCUUUUAUCUAGUGAAAUGAAUUCUUCUAAUAAUUUUGGUAUUGUUCAUAAUCAUUCAGGGACCAAAUACGUCACCUUCUAUUAGAGACUAUACAUAUUGCAUUUACUUCUUUGAUGGUUUCUAACAUUCUACCUCCAUUUACCAUUUGGAUUACCAUUUCAAUCAUAUGCAACAAUUAAGAUAACAUCACAUUGUGCACCUAUAUGGGUCAGUACUUCAAGAUUAUUACUUUUGAUAGUCCACUCAAAUACCCCUCGCUCAAGACGUAUGACAUUAAUGACACACGAUACCAAUCUUAAACACCUGUUUUCUGACAACCUUACAAGAAAUAGGUUGUUGAGGAAAAAAUUUAUCACUUUGAGACUACCUGCAUGCAACUCAUUUUUUUCGUGCCCAUUUAGAUCUAGGACAAGUCUGUAAUCUUAGUCAUUGACAGUCACUGACUUUAAUUUAGUAAAGAAACAAAAGGUUGAUUCUACACUUAUUAAGAUCUAGAAUUUAUUUCAGAUAUGCAAUAUCGGCAAUAAUCUGCAAACAAAUUAAGAUUUUUGAUGCAAGAAAAACAGCAUUGGACUGAAUUCACAAUGUGGAGGCCAAGUAGAAGACAUCAUUUCUUCUCAAAGUAGAAAAAAUGAAGAAAAAGAAGAACAGAAAAGAAGACACCAUAUUCUUUUCUUUUAUAUUCUCCUUUGUACUGCUCCACAACUACGGGUAACAAUAGGUCAAGUCAGAUUGGGUUUGUUCUUGGUUUGGGACCACAGGCCAUCUCUCAAAAGGAAAUGAUUCCUUAGAGAGAUAAGGAUAAUUUUGAUCAAGAAAUUAUCGUACUCACAUAUAUAUGGCUUCCAAUAGGAUCAAAAGCUACUAUUGAUUAUUGCCCAUCUUGGGGCAUUUCCAAUUACGAGAUCAUGUUCUGAAGUGCUGAAAAGAAGAGUAGAAGAAAAACGUUUUUUCCAUAAAUUGCUCAGUAAUAUAUGGCUUGGCAAAGAGCACACAAUCUCUAUUUUCAUUAUGCACAAUCUAAUGAUGUGGAGAUCAUUUUGUUUCGAAUUUCCCUAUUUUAUGAGAUGAAGGCCAUUUUUGCUUUGCUUAUGAUUUGUUUAAGAGGAUCAAAUGACCAUCUUCAUAAUUAACUAAACUCAGAGGACUAAUCAAGAAUAAUUUAACAGGGUUCACUUGGAAAAACACUAUAACAUUUUAAAUUUAGUUAUACUCAGGUAAUCAAGUCCAAAUUUAAAUAUGUCAAGCUCAAAGCCUCAAAUGAUUUAGUCAUAUGGAGAAAUUAGUCAAAAGGUAAUACUCAAGGGUUUAGAGAGUAAGCCUUUGAGUAGACUCAGAGGAUUAGGCCCAAAAUUACUUCAUAGUAACCUAUGAAGAAAGUAAAUGGAUCCAACAUUAUAUGAUAACAAUAACAAAUCUUUAAAUAUAUAUAUAUAGUAAUUCUAGAAUACAACAAUAGAACAAUCAAAUGACUUAGUCACUUGGAGAACUUAGUCAAAAGGUAAUACCUUAGGGUUUAGAUAGUAAACCUUUGAGUAGACUCAGAGGAUUAAGUCCAAAAUUGCUUCAUAGUAACCUAUGAAGCAAGCAAAUGGAUGCAACAUGACAUGAUACCAAUAUAACAAAUAGUUAAAAGAAUGUAAUUCUAGAACACAACAAUAAAACAUAAUACAAUAUCAACAGCAUCCACAAAAUCUAUUAUUUUGUCCACUUCAUUAUGUUUAUGCAGCAUGCACAUGAACAUAACAUGGUUUGAUGCACCAGUAUGACAAAUCUCGAAAGAAUAAAACAGGAUAUGACUGAAAUAUGCUAAUAAAACAUACCAUGCCAUCAAACUACUGUUCUCAAGCUUUUGGCAACAUCAACAUCGAAAAACUCCAUCAUUUGGUCAUGAUAAAAAAUCUAUAGGACAUGGUCCAUACUUACUCCAUAAAAUAACAUCAAUGUUACAUAUUCUAAAAUUAGCCAUACAUCAGAUCCAUAAUUAAAAGGUUAGCAUCCAUUAAAAGUAAAAAAAAACCCUAAAUAUAUCUAAGAAGUAUAUGAAGCCUUUUUUUAAUUUCUAAAAAUAUGAUACUCCAAAUGAGUACCUUACAUGUAUCCUAGCCCUAUCCUACAAUUCCUAAAAUCCCAUAUGUAUUGAAAACAAAGAUAGUGUGAAAUUCAAAGUAUUCAAGGGACAUAACUAGUUACAUGACAGGAGUUGAAGGGCUGUGCUACAUUUUCUUUUUAGCUGGCUCAAAGACUAAAUCAAAUUGUAUUCAGAAGAAAAUCACCAACAAGAUUCAAUCAAUUUAAGUUCUCCUAGCUAGAUCCAAUAGAUUGAACUUGAUGGGAGGCAAAAUGGAUCGUCCUACUCUAGCAUGGAGGCACCCAAUUCCGACCAAGCAGACCUCACUCAGCUUCUUCCAGCGUGGUCACCCUCAGGCCAGAUUUCAACCACAACAGAACUCAUGGAGGGUUUAAACCAAAGGAUUAGUCCCCUUUAAGCUUACAGAAGAUGGACUCAGGGCCUAGGAAAUGCAAAUCAUGCCAAGGAUGAGUUCAAUCAUUGAUGGGAUCAGUAAAGUUCAAGUUGGAACAGGCCUGCUGGGCAAAGUCAUCAUUAAAUUAGAAGACUUGCAAAGUCGCCAAAAUUUACGAAAACACCAGCUAAUAGCUUGGGAUGUAGGUUUCUUUAGGGUUCCCUUAUUUCGGAUAGAUCAACAUGUGUUAGCUGGUGACAUGACCAAGUAAAAGUGAGGCUCUUUUUGUUCCCACAAUGAGUAGGAAUUAUUACCCAGCAACAGUCUAGUUUCCUUAUUUCAUAACUGCUAGAAUAGAGUCCUAUUUAUAACUUUAUUUGAGUUGUCAAGGAAACUGUCGCCUAUAUAAGAUGUCUUUACAGUGAGGCUAAAUUAUUCUUUCUUAUUAAUAACAUUAUUUUUCCUUUUUUUCUCUUGAGAAAGUUGUGGUAUUCUGUUGUGAAGCCAAGGUUGAUUUGUGAGCUAAAGAAGACAGUUUUUUGUUUUUAGAUUUGGCCUUGUUUUAAGAGGAUGAUGUUAACAUUAGGUGGUAUCAAAGUGAGUUCUUCCUUGGCCUAACAGCAUUCAACAACAAAUAAAAGCAAUGGCACCUCCAAGAACAACACAACAAAUGGUUAAUAAGUGACUCAAGAUGUGUUUAGCACAUCACUCAAGGUGACUCAAAGAUCAAUCUACUACGAAGUUGAUGGGUCGAAUCAACUCUCUCUAGAUCAACUUAUGUACUGUGAUGAUGAUGGUGCUUGCAGUCACAUGGAUUGUGAUCCAAUGAAUAAGCUAAAUAGCCAAUUUCAACCCUACAAAGAAGGGUGUAGUAGUGAGGAGCUUGAUGAAGUUAUUAUUCAAAGAGAUGCUACAUGAACAAGACACCAAGAUGAAGACUAUCAUAUGAAGAUAAAUCUUCCAGCUUUUAAGAGACAAUAGAAUACCAAGGCUUCCUUGACUGGGUUGCUGAAAUCAAGAGGUUCUCUGAUUACAUGAAAAAUUGCAGGUUAAAGAAGGUGGAACUUUUCCCUUACACAUUGAAGGUUGGUGCUUCAACAUGCUGGGAAUGUCAACAAAGUGAAUUUGAUAUGGACAUGGCAGUUGAUAAAGAAUUUAUUAAAGGUACAACUUUUAUCCAUUAACCAUGAUCAAAUAUAAUUUCAAUGGUAUCAAAGUUGUAAACAAGGGAGUCACAACAUGACAAGGGAACCGGCCGAACCCCUGUUUCGUUCGAAAUAGAGGAACCGGCCGGACCCCUGUUUCGUUCAAAAUAGGAGAACCGGCCGCGGCCUCGCCUCCCGCGGCCUCCGCCGGCCUCCCUCCCUCUCCCUCGCCCGCUCACUCUCUCUUUCCUUUUUCUCCGGCACCAGUAACGAUUUUUGUUUCCAUUGCCGGAACCGUACCCAUGAGCUGCCGGUACUAGUCAGAAUGGCCGGAACUGCCCGGUCCGGGACAAUUCUGCCGACCCUGCUUGCUACCAUUCAUGACACCACCCGAUAGCUUGGGACAUAGAUUUCUUUCAAGUUUUCUUGUCAGACAGUCAAUAUGUGUUAGUGACAUAACCAUGUGAAAGUAAGCCUCCCUUUAUUCCAUAGAAGUAAGAAUCAUUACCUAGCAGCACUUCAGUUUAGUUUUUAUUGUAUAACUAUACUAGAACAUAUUUCAAUAGAAGUUCUAUGUCCUAUAUGUAAGGAGUCUCUCAUGAGUCUGAACUAUUUCUUCUUAUUAAUGAAACUGCUUUUCUUUUUUUUCCUUUCAAAAAGAAAGUUGUAGUUUUCCAUUGUGAAGCCAAAAUAGAUCUAUGAGUUCCGGAUGAUACUGUUCCUUUUCUAGCCUUGGGCUUGUUUUGAAUAGAUGGUGUUUAUCUUGUUUCUUUGCGCUCUCAUGCUUGUGCUAUGUCACCAGGCCAAAGCUGAAUUAGUUAAUUAUCCAGGAGGAUUGAACACACAUACUCCUUUGCGUCAUACAUGUAGAGAUUUGUACCUACAUUUAUCCAUGCAAGCUGGGCCUAGAGGGCUAAAUGUAAUUUAACAUUACCAGAUCAAAAGGAAAGAAUCCUUCAAAGUCCAAACCGAACAUUAUAGUGCCAAAACCUUUAGUAGGGAAACUAGUUGAGUCCAAAGACUUUAACAAUAUUGUAAACUCAAAAAUCCAUGCUCUAAGCUCAGUUAUUUUUUCAGAGAGACUAAGUUCCAACAUGAGACUUCAACCUAAAAGAUUGAGUUGUCAAGCAUUGGCUUCCAGGCGCUUAAGUCUCUUCUUCAAGUUUGUUUCUAGGAAUAUUCCUUGUCAUAUCUAUGCACAAGCCUAAAACCUAUACUUUGUUCAUGGAGGAAUAAUAUCCUCCUUUAAUUGGACACUGUGGAGCCCCCAUUUAGCUAUGAAAUACUUAGAAAGCUUAAUUCCAAGUUCCAAGUUCCAUAUGCGAUGAUCAUUUAUUUUAAGCAUUCACUUAGCUAAUCAAACUUAAAUAUGAGGUUUCUUACUUCUUGGAGGAUUUAUAUUCUCCUUGCAUUUAGUUCCAAAGGAUAAAAAUACCUAUUUUAUCAUGAGAGACCCAAAGUUCUCCUCUAGUUUCAUUUCAUGAAUUUGUUUUGUGUUUACGUAUAUGGUAAUUUCUAUUAAGAAUUUGAGAAAGAUUCAAAGUCCUCUUUAAUCUAGCUCCAUAAAAACUCAAAAUCCUGUGUUAAUUCAGCUCCAGGAGAAUAAGCCCCUCUCAAGGACUAAAAGGCCAUUUUCGUUAAAAGUUCGAAGUUUUCUAUAUUACACUUCAUUACUUUGAAACAAGGGUGACGCUGUUUCCGAGGUCGCUAAGCCCAAUUUAGCAAUGAAAGAAAAGUUUGGUUGGGGACCCAUUAAAGGGGGCAAUUACCCAUGAAAUAAACAGGAUGAGAUGUAUUAUCAAUCAAGACCUAUGGUACACUAGGCACAAUGCUCCAUACACCUAUCAUAGAAGAAAGAGUGAGACAAAAGAAUAAAGAAAAGAGAAAGAUAGGCAUGCAUCCCUUAUGCAUCUGAGAGCAAGGGAGUUAAGAAAAAGAAAGAAAGAAAAGCAUUAUGUAAGCUCACCUUGAAAGACCUAGUUGAGACAUCUCAUCCAAAAACGGAGAGUAAGGAUUUUUUAUGGCUUAAUUAGAGUGAUUUGAUAGGACUAUUAGGGUCAAGUGGAUUGAAAAGGCCUAAGAAGGCAAGGCUUGGUCUUUUCCUUUCCUCUCAAAGUGAAAGAGAACACCCCUUAUUAUGCAAGAGACUAAAGGGUCGACCUAAGCUUUAAAAAAGGCAGCAAAACAAUCAUCUUCUCAGGAUAGCUUUCAGAAAGGAGCCUUUUCAAGAAAAAUUUCCUCGAAAAGUAGAUGACCAUAGCACUUGAUCAUUGGAUUGAUAUACAUAAAAGAGUCACCAUUAGAUGGGUAGAAACAUUUUUCGCCAAUAGGGGUCAAUUUUAUAUCGGACUAUGACAUUAAGUGUUAGAUGAGUAUCAUUGUUGUUUAAAAAUCCCCUUGAAAAUUAGAGCUGGGAAUAAUCUUGAUCAAAAAUGGCCAGAUGUGGAUAUGCCAUUGUUAGAUGCAUGAAAGCCCUCUUUGAGAGUAAAACAACUUUAGUCUCUACCAUUCAAUCAUCGUGGAUGAAAGAUCUAUCUAGAAUAAGGGCCAAUAUUAAUUCAACCCUUGGAUUAGGUGCAAAUGAGCACAGCUGUAAGAUGAAAGUUGGAUUCAAUCCAAACUACAAAAUCUGGUUUAGACUGUAUUAUUUUGUUGAUUGGGCAAUAGCCCAUUAGGAAUGAGGGCUGGCUCAAUUCAGACCAUGGUAUUAAUGCAUAUAAGCACAGUGAUUACAUAGAUGAAAGUCCUUUACAAGGAUAAAUUAAGAUUCAAUUGGCUUGGGAAGGAAUGAGCCUCGACAUGAGAUGGACAAAAGCCCUCUAUAAGGGCAAUGUUUAGUUUCGAGCAUGUAUUGAAUGGUGGAAGUCUCCUUUAAGAGUGAAGGACACUCUGACCAUUUGUUAAGUCUUUACAACCAUGGGUGGGCAAAACCCUUCUAUAAGAGCAAUUGGUAGAUAUUUUAUCAACUUGUUAGAAUAGAAAGGGCUUCAAAGCCAUGUAGCAAGCUAGAGAGGAUGUAUAAAUUUAAUCAUGGACAUCCAUCAAGAUAUGGGUGUAAACAAGCAGAAAUUAGCAAACUAGGGCCAUGCUUAAGCUUGGCUUCUUUUAUAAUCAAACUAAGCAUAAGCUCAAUUAAGUUAAUUUCAAGUCAAACACAAGUUGUCUACAACAAACUCAUCUAAAGGACUUGUUAAACCUUGAGGUCCAUCAAGAAAUUCCUUUGAGCUAAUUUCCAUUAUUCUAUAUCAAUGCACUGGUUGGAAUUUUCAUUAGCAAUUAACAAUUACAGCUAUUAGCAGCAAUUUGUUUUGAAGGAUAUAGUAGGAGGGUACUUCCAUUUGUUUUGAAGGAUAUAGUAGGAGGGUAAGACCUAAGAUCACAUUGAAAGAACUAUGAAAAUAUAUGGAAUAGCUUGAAAUAAUAUUAGAGGUAGCCUAAAUAAAAAUACGUGGUGAAUGAGGAUUUGUAUAAAGCUGAUUUGAAAUAGUUAGAGAAAAGGCUCUAUAAUUAUGGUUGUUAUGGUUAAACGUUGUCAAGAGGCACAGUUCUUUAUAUAAAAUAUGUUAGUGCGUAAUAAAUAAAUACAAAAAAUCAAAUUUCUAUUCUAAUUAGUAACUAAAUUAAUACAUGAAAUAUACUAGUGAUUGUAUUUCGAGUUUAUUUGAACCAACCACCGAAUAAGCUAGGCAAAUUUCAUUCUCAGCUUGUUUUCUGACAGCAAGUCCUUUUCAAGCUGAACAGAGAGCAGAACACGAGCUACUCACUAAUGGCUUGCUCAUUUGAUUAGCCCUACAUCAGGAUAAUAAUGGAUUUAUGGUCAUCAAAAGCAUUAAACCAUAAUUAUUGACUUUCUAAAGGGUUAGGUUGAAAAUGCACAUAACAUAUGCAAACUGACUUAAAAGGGUGUUAACUCCUCCGUUAAACACCUUGGGUGAUAAACUACCAGAACAUCGAAACAUGGUAAACAUGACCACUUUAAAAGGGAUCAAAUAUUCAAACACUAGAUUGACAUGUUUAUUAAAUGGGUGAUAUGACUCGACACAUCUUAUUCUAUGGGCCAAACCUAUGCCAGUAAAAUAACAAAAUUACAAGGCUAACCCACUCUAGAUAGUUCAAACCCUAAAAGAGUGAAACAAAAGGGGAUUCUACUCCAUGAUGCUACAAAAGAUAGCAAAGGCAAUUAUACAUGUUGGGUUCCAUAUAAGUUAAGAAGCUCAUCCCAGUUGGCUUUCCAUAUUUAGUCAAAGAAGGCAGAAAUCAUGAAUUGAAUAUCAGCUCUUCAACCUACAUAAGGAAGAGAAGUUGUAUCUUAUGGCAUUCUUUACCAUAACCAUGAAGCCUGGUAUAAACAGCUGGGAUCCAUAAAAAUAAUUUAAGAACAAUCUAUAUUAGUGAGUUUACAAAUAUGAGUUACAUUUGUUAUUAAAGUACAGUUGAAGGUAACUACUUUCUAGCCCUUUAUAAGUUAAAAGUAAGAACUGUAUAGUACUUCUCAGUUGGAAUCAUGACAGGAAAACCACAUCAUAAUCCCUUUAUUUCCUUUCUCAAUCUUAGCCGGAAAGGUUGAGAUAGAUAGUGUAUAAUUUUAUUGCAGCUGCAGUGAUCAAGUCCUCAUAUGACAACAAAGAUCUAAGCUUAGAUUGUAUAAGUACAUCACUUCACUCCCCUACUUGCAACAAAAUGUGUUUAGACAUCAAAAGAUCUAACACUGUCAUAGAUUUUCAUUAGAAUCUGUCCUCAGUUGAAAGGUCAAUCCAUAUAGAAUUAUCAUUAUAAAGACAUCAAAUAAUGACAUCAUUUGCCAACCAAAUAACAUGAAAAGGUUUUUGCUUCCUUUGCAUUUUGCAAUAAAUAUCAACAGCAAAAAUAACAGUAAUUAUUGAAAGGCAAGUAAUAAUCAGCAUGUCACUUCCACAAGUUAGUUUGUGCAGUGUAUAAUCAAAAUUGCAGUGCAGGUAUGCAAGUCAUUGUUUUCAAGAAUUUAUUAGAUACCUGU
rnacentral:lncRNA from 1 species